UUAAGCGACUAAGCGUACACGGUGGAUGCCCUGGCAGUCAGAGGCGAUGAAGGACGUGCUAAUCUGCGAAAAGCGUCGGUAAGGUGAUAUGAACCGUUAUAACCGGCGAUGUCCGAAUGGGGAAACCCAGUGCAAUUCGUUGCACUAUCGUUAACUGAAUACAUAGGUUAACGAGGCGAACCGGGGGAACUGAAACAUCUAAGUACCCCGAGGAAAAGAAAUCAACCGAGAUUCCCCCAGUAGCGGCGAGCGAACGGGGAGCAGCCCAGAGUCUGAAUCAGCUUGUGUGUUAGUGGAACGGUCUGGAAAGUCCGACGGUACAGGGUGAUAGUCCCGUACACCAAAAUGCACAGGCUGUGAACUCGAAGAGUAGGGCGGGACACGUGGUAUCCUGUCUGAAUAUGGGGGGACCAUCCUCCAAGGCUAAAUACUCCUGACUGACCGAUAGUGAACCAGUACCGUGAGGGAAAGGCGAAAAGAACCCCGGCGAGGGGAGUGAAAAAGAACCUGAAACCGUGUACGUACAAGCAGUGGGAGCACCUUCGGGUGUGACUGCGUACCUUUUGUAUAAUGGGUCAGCGACUUAUAUUCUGUAGCAAGGUUAACCGUAUAGGGGAGCCGCAGGGAAACCGAGUCUUAACUGGGCGUUAAGUUGCAGGGUAUAGACCCGAAACCCGGUGAUCUAGCCAUGGGCAGGUUGAAGGUUGGGUAACACUAACUGGAGGACCGAACCGACUAAUGUUGAAAAAUUAGCGGAUGACUUGUGGCUGGGGGUGAAAGGCCAAUCAAACCGGGAGAUAGCUGGUUCUCCCCGAAAGCUAUUUAGGUAGCGCCUCGUGAACUCAUCUUCGGGGGUAGAGCACUGUUUCGGCUAGGGGGUCAUCCCGACUUACCAACCCGAUGCAAACUACGAAUACCGAAGAAUGUUAUCACGGGAGACACACGGCGGGUGCUAACGUCCGUCGUGAAGAGGGAAACAACCCAGACCGCCAGCUAAGGUCCCAAAGUCAUGGUUAAGUGGGAAACGAUGUGGGAAGGCACAGACAGCCAGGAUGUUGGCUUAGAAGCAGCCAUCAUUUAAAGAAAGCGUAAUAGCUCACUGGUCGAGUCGGCCUGCGCGGAAGAUGUAACGGGGCUAAACCAUGCACCGAAGCUGCGGCAGCGACACUAUGUGUUGUUGGGUAGGGGAGCGUUCUGUAAGCCUGCGAAGGUGACCUGUGAGGGUUGCUGGAGGUAUCAGAAGUGCGAAUGCUGACAUAAGUAACGAUAAAGCGGGUGAAAAGCCCGCUCGCCGGAAGACCAAGGGUUCCUGUCCAACGUUAAUCGGGGCAGGGUGAGUCGACCCCUAAGGCGAGGCCGAAAGGCGUAGUCGAUGGGAAACAGGUUAAUAUUCCUGUACUUGGUGUUACUGCGAAGGGGGGACGGAGAAGGCUAUGUUAGCCGGGCGACGGUUGUCCCGGUUUAAGCAUGUAGGCUGGUUAUCCAGGCAAAUCCGGAUAAUCAAGGCUGAGGUGUGAUGACGAGGCACUACGGUGCUGAAGUAACAAAUGCCCUGCUUCCAGGAAAAGCCUCUAAGCAUCAGGUAACAUCAAAUCGUACCCCAAACCGACACAGGUGGUCAGGUAGAGAAUACCAAGGCGCUUGAGAGAACUCGGGUGAAGGAACUAGGCAAAAUGGUGCCGUAACUUCGGGAGAAGGCACGCUGGUGUGUAGGUGAAGUCCCUGCGGAUGGAGCUGAGACCAGUCGAAGAUACCAGCUGGCUGCAACUGUUUAUUAAAAACACAGCACUGUGCAAACACGAAAGUGGACGUAUACGGUGUGACGCCUGCCCGGUGCCGGAAGGUUAAUUGAUGGGGUUAUCCGUAAGGAGAAGCUCUUGAUCGAAGCCCCGGUAAACGGCGGCCGUAACUAUAACGGUCCUAAGGUAGCGAAAUUCCUUGUCGGGUAAGUUCCGACCUGCACGAAUGGCGUAAUGAUGGCCAGGCUGUCUCCACCCGAGACUCAGUGAAAUUGAACUCGCUGUGAAGAUGCAGUGUACCCGCGGCAAGACGGAAAGACCCCGUGAACCUUUACUAUAGCUUGACACUGAACAUUGAGCCUUGAUGUGUAGGAUAGGUGGGAGGCUUUGAAGCGUGGACGCCAGUCUGCGUGGAGCCAACCUUGAAAUACCACCCUUUAAUGUUUGAUGUUCUAACGUUGGCCCCUUACCGGGGUUGCGGACAGUGUCUGGUGGGUAGUUUGACUGGGGCGGUCUCCUCCCAAAGCGUAACGGAGGAGCACGAAGGUUAGCUAAUCCUGGUCGGACAUCAGGAGGUUAGUGCAAUGGCAUAAGCUAGCUUGACUGCGAGCGUGACGGCGCGAGCAGGUGCGAAAGCAGGUCAUAGUGAUCCGGUGGUUCUGAAUGGAAGGGCCAUCGCUCAACGGAUAAAAGGUACUCCGGGGAUAACAGGCUGAUACCGCCCAAGAGUUCAUAUCGACGGCGGUGUUUGGCACCUCGAUGUCGGCUCAUCACAUCCUGGGGCUGAAGUAGGUCCCAAGGGUAUGGCUGUUCGCCAUUUAAAGUGGUACGCGAGCUGGGUUUAGAACGUCGUGAGACAGUUCGGUCCCUAUCUGCCGUGGGCGCUGGAGAAUUGAGGGGGGCUGCUCCUAGUACGAGAGGACCGGAGUGGACGCAUCACUGGUGUUCGGGUUGUCAUGCCAAUGGCACUGCCCGGUAGCUAAAUGCGGAAGAGAUAAGUGCUGAAAGCAUCUAAGCACGAAACUUGCCCCGAGAUGAGUUCUCCCUGAGACUUUAAGUCUCCUGAAGGAACGUUGAAGACGACGACGUUGAUAGGCCGGGUGUGUAAGCGCAGCGAUGCGUUGAGCUAACCGGUACUAAUGAACCGUGAGGCUUAACCUU
rnacentral:rRNA from 1 species